CAGUCGUUUCGCGCGGCAAACGUUCCCUUCUCAGCAUCAUCUAACUGCGAAGUAGACUUCCUCUGCAAGCUGCGCAUCUCAAAAUGGUCUAAGACGCCACGGGUUUCAAGGAAGAGAGGAACGUCAUCGUCUUUGGUGCCCGCAUGGUAGGGGUGUCGACGACUUGACACCUACAGCACCGUGGUGCCACGUGACUGUCAAUGAUCGCAAGGAGCCCGGCGUGUGUACCUUGUGGGGAAACUCAUGUCUCAUUCAGCUCGAGUGUCUGCAACGCCACCCAGCACCAAAAGGCUUCCUGAACCAUAAUGAAAUUUCCGUCAACACAAAAGCUGACGUUCGGUGCCACCUUUCCUCAUUCCACUAAAUCUCUACAGGAUUUGCCUCUGUUGGUGCAAGACCACCCCAAUCACUUUUCGACAAAAAGUGCAAAGCAUAUACCAUUCUCGCUGUACGCAGCCCGAAGGGGGCGAAAAGAUCUAGAUGACACACUUAGAAGCGCUCAUCUGAAAGGUGGAGCACGUCAAACUCUCUUGCACACAGUUCAUACAGUAAGUGGCGCCGUGCGUGAACGAGCAGCGAGCAAUGACCAUUCACAUUGGCCUUGCUACACCAGCGGAUCUGUCAAAGAAGACGUCCAGGUUCAGCACAGAUGCCUUUACAUGUAGAUACAAUUUCAAACACGCGUGAGUUGUGACCGACUCUGGCGGUCUCUUAAAGACCUCAACACAGAGCUUGUAGUCAAGUAUUGGCGCUGCCGUGCAUGUUCCCGUCAGGAGCAUUUCACCGCCCUCAGAUGACCGAGGGGAUGCCUGCGUUGUUGGGACGGACGAGGGCGACUCAGCUUCUCCCCGCAUCUUCGUGGCCACUGACUGUUGGUUAUGCGAGGUUCUUGCUUCACUCGGCUAUAGGCUCCUGCUCAUCCCCUUGCUCGGCUACAGCAUACACUUUCACGUGGCCGAUGGCGCACCACUGAGCCGCUCCAUUAUGGAUUUGGAGAACGGAUUUGGUGAGCAACUAAUGCAGGCCGCGGCUUCACCUCAAGUCGAGUGACAUGUCUGCGUCGUUCCCAUCCCCUCCUAACGAGAUUCAACAACAGAGGGCACAGACCAUUGCGCGCAUACUUCUACCGCUCGAGGAGCAAGAUCAGUGAUAUGUGGCACCGCCAUCGUUCCUUCAUUGCAGACAAAAGGCCGUUGAUCGGGGAAUCGCUGAAACAUCCGGGGCUCUGGAUGUGUAUCGAGCCAGGGUACAAAGGUUUCACUUUGCUACCCGUUUCCAGCGGUCUGCUGAGCGAGAUGAUGGAUGAAAAGAAGCGCAUUGUCGACCCCCCGCCCUUUUCUAACAACGAAUCUCUUUAAGGUGAAAAUAUCUGGCAAUGCUGUUCUCUGUGCUUAUUUUCUUCUAACUAGGCAGUUCACCUUUCCGCACAUUCGCUUUAACCAUUACCGUGUUGCGCGUGUUCCAAGAAAGCUUUUCAAUGAUCUUCACUCGGGUUACAUAUCGCGUGUGAGUGCAUCGUGGCGGAUGCGAUACGCAACUCUACGUGACAGUUUUUCUCGUUUUAAGUAGACGCAACGAUUUAUAUUCCUUUCCAAGUAAUUGGUUACCCACAG
rnacentral:misc_RNA from 1 species